AACGAACGUUAGCGGCGCGCCUAACACAUGCAAGUCGCACGAGAAAGGGCUUCGGCCCCGGUAAAGUGGCGCACGGGUGAGUAACACGUGGGUAACCUUCCCUCGAGCGGGGAAUAACAUUCCGAAAGGAGUGCUAAUGCCGCAUAAGACCACGGCUUCGAAAGGAGCUGAGGUAAAAGCUGGCCUCUUCAUGAAAGCUAGCACUCGAGGAUGGGCCCGCGGCCCAUCAGCUUGUUGGUAGGGUAACGGCCUACCAAGGCUAAGACGGGUAACUGGUCUGAGAGGAUGAUCAGUCACACUGGAACCGAGACACGGUCCAGACUCCUACGGGAGGCAGCAGUGGGGAAUCUUGCGCAAUGGACGAAAGCCUGACGCAGCGACGCCGCGUGGGUGAUGAAGGCCUUCGGGUUGUAAAGCCCUGUGGGGAGAGACGAAUAAGUCUUGGCUAAUAUCCAAGAUGAUGACGGUAUCUCCUUAGCAAGCACCGGCUAACUCUGUGCCAGCCGCCGCCGUAACAC
rnacentral:rRNA from 1 species